rnacentral:misc_RNA from 1 species
CAGAUCAAGAAGAAGUUUGGAUCUCAAGUUGAAGCGUUCUUUGUUAUCCUGACAGCAUCUCAGUUUCAUUUGCUGUUCUAUUGCACCCGUCCUCUGCCAAAUAUAUUGGCAUUUGCUUUAGUAAAUUUGGCAUAUGGCUUUUGGUUUAAGGGAAGUCUGUAUGCGGCAUUAAAUUGCAUGGUGUUUGCGACAUUAGUCUUCAGAUGCGACAUACUUCUGCUCAUUGCUCCUUUGGGUUCGGAGCUCUUGCUGACCAAAUCGGUUUCUUUCUGGAAAGCACUGACAUCCUGCUUAGCUGCUACUUUCCUCUCCAUAGGCCUUACCGUUCUUGUUGAUUCAGUCAUUUGGAAAAGGUUGUUG